rnacentral:misc_RNA from 1 species
AGUGUCAAAUUUCCCAUGAAUUAAAGCUUUAUGCAUGUGCCAUCACUUCCGUUUACAUCAAAAAAUUAUAGGGGGCACCUACUCUGCCCCCAUAUGCAUGCUAGAUGGUAGAUCUGCAGGUCUAAUAGCUAAACUUAAUCAGCUAUAGCUAAUUAGCCAUGGAUGGGGAUACUGCUUUUGAACGAUUAAUUGCAGCUGAAGAGAAGCUUUUUGAAGAGUAUCGUAAGAUAGAAGAAUUAAAAAGGUAAGUAAUAUAGUUGAAGCUAUAUUGGUGCAAUAGUGAGUCAUUCAGUGACAUUUUAAAGAAGAAAAAAACAUUAACUGCUGAAAAAGAAAAAGAAAAAAACAAAAGAGAUUCAUUAAUAAAAGCAAUGGAUGCUCUGGCUGAAAAAAAGUUAUUUGUUGACAGGUUAAAAAGCUCAUCUUGUGAUGCUCGCAAGAUGUAUGGAGAUAUGAUUCCGGGAGACACGACCCACCAAGAUGUGAUAUUAGCAUAUCAAAAUCACUUCAAAAGUGCACACCAUAGCAUGCCCAAAAAACGUGGCACAAGAAGAGAUGAAGAGAAAUUUGAAGUAUGGGAGGAAUGUGCUCAAACUGUGCAGAGAUCCUAUGAUAAAAAUAGGGAUAUGCUGGUAAAAAUAAUGCUUGAAAAAUUGAGAAAUAUGUUAUCUAAAGAACACGAGGAGCUGGAUGAAGCGACAUAUGAUUUACAGAGGGCAUUUGAAAUGUUUGUACAAGAAUUGAAACAAGAAAAAUUUCAAAUGAUGGUAGAAAAGGUUGGUGGUAAGCAUGGCAUGAAAGAAGCAGAAUUUGUCAAAGAUCUCCUAACUACACUUCAGCCAGAUGAUUAUUUGCACUUCAUUGCCACAGGAGACACAAGAAAAAGAAAAUAUACAGAUAUACACUAAUAAUAAAACUUUAAGUGUUAUAAUGAUGCUUUUCAUGAUGUCAUAUUUAACAGCUCAGCAAUGUCCAUGAAUUUGUUUAUGGAGCUUCCUGGAAUUGGUUUAUAUAACUUCUUAGGUAUCUUACUAUUACAUGUCAGUAUUUGCCAGUUGAAUCUGACUAAAGUUGUGUAGGAGGUUACAAGCAAUAAUGCCUAAUAGGUUUGAAAUCUAUAGUCGCCUAAGUAAUCUAGGAAAAAAAUUGCUGGAAGUUAUUAGCUGUGGCUGUUGUACAAUUGUUUGGAUUAUUGUCAUUGUGGGACAAAAAUUAAAAGGCCUAUGUACCCUAACACAAAACAAGUUUAGUAUAAUUAUACUUAUGAUCAGAUUCUAUUAUUAAAUAUAUUAUUAAUUAUACAUCAUUCAGCAAUCUUGAGAGCAGAAUUACUCAAAAAAGAAGAAAGUAUAAUGAGUUAGUUCAAGAGGUAUCAAAGUAUGAAAAAAUUCUUGGAGAGUGGUGUGUACCACAAGAGCAUGUUUUGAGGGAGCUCUCACUUAAAAGAAGCAAAUUAUUGUUAAAAAGUAAUAGAACCAUGCAUUCUGAUGAAAAAUGUCAAGAAAAUGAAGAAUUGUUCAAGGAUAUGCUUGACAGCUUAACUGAGCUGGUUGAAAUUAACUUGUGGAACCUACUUGAAGGAGGUAUCAAUGAAGAAAGCAAAAAUGACACUCACUAUGGUGCAUAUGGUCUACUGCUUAGUGCUUGUGAGAUCAAGACAAAUACCAGCAUAGCAGAAAUAGCCAAAGAAAAGGCUUUGAAAAAAAUUGAACAGAAGUAUAAUUAUAUUGACAAUCAAGGCAUUGAAGAGAAUGUGGAUCAAUGUCUUUCCAUUCUUCAUAUGAUGCUAACGUUAUUGCCUCCUCUACUCCCCAUGCAACCACAAUGGCAAGAUGAUGAAAUACAAGAUACUUUUCGAAAGACUUGGGAUGAAAAUAAAGAAGGGCCAUUAAUAUAUUAUCGUCCUGUGUUGGUGUAUGGCAAUCAGUUCCAUGUUGCAUUUAAGGGACUGGUAGGAAACAGUUCAGUAUUACUACAAGACAAAUGAUAGCUAACAUUGUCAUAACCAUUAUAGUUUGGUAGAACAACAAAUUAUUAGUUCAAGAAUAGCUUGAUUAAAUUUUGUAUAGUCAAGAGUACAUAAUUCAUGCUGCCAUUAUUGAUACUACGCAUGAUCUCACUACUGUAUCUUGCACACACGUGUACAUGUGUAAGCAUAGAUAUUAUAGACAUUAUAGACUACUGAAACGUUAUUAAUUUUAUUGAUAUUUUUGAUAAACAACAUUCUAUCAGCUCAAAUGAGCAUUGAAUAAAGGUAACGUAGUCUAUAAAAUUUAUGGUGCAAAGGGUGCAUGGGUGUGGUCAUAAAUUUGGUGUGGUCUGGUCUCUGGUGACUGGUGUGGUCAAAAAAACUGAAUGAGAACUAUAGAAGAAUGGCAAGCAGAGGAAUGAAUGAGAGGACAGAUGAAUGCUAUGAGCUGGACCUAGUAGUAACAAUGGCACAUGAUGACAGUGACCAUUUAAGUGAAGAAGAAAAACUUGAUAGAGACAUUGCUAACCUUGAAAACAAAAUUAGAGUUAUGAGGGAGAUGAUAGGGAAGCAAGAAAGUUAUACAAGCCCUUCUUAUGAUGCUCGGAAGUUGUAUGGUGACAUUUUACCUGGUGAUAAAACACAUGAAGACGUAAUACGACUCUACCAGCACCACUUUAACAUGGCUUUUCAGCAUAUGCCAAAAAAAUUUGAAGGUAAAAGUAAAUUUGAAGUUUGGCAAAUGUGUGGUGAAAUAUUUCAAACUACAAUUCCACUAAUAGGAUUGCUUUGACGAAAAAAGAAAAACAUUAAUAAAAAUAAUGAAGGAUGAAAUGAAGAUUGCAGUAAGUCAAAGCAUGACUAUUGCAGAUUUGGAUGAAAAAACAACCGAUUUGCAUCGUGCAUUUAAGAUAAUGAUUGCGGAAGUCAAUGAUCAAGAACUUCUAUUGAAAAUGAAGCAAAGAAAUCCUAGUUUAAAUGAAGAUGCAUUUUAUUUUGUGCUGGAUAUGAUACAGAAGUUAAAACCGGUUCAUUACCGAUCCUUCUUGACUAAAGGAACACUAAAUGAAACAAAAUUGGAACUUCUUCCUGAAAUUUAAUAAUAUGACUCUAACUUAAA